rnacentral:rRNA from 1 species
UACAGAGGUCUCAAGCGUUGUUCGGAUUCAUUGGGCGUAAAGGGUGUGUAGGUGGCGCGCUAAGUCGGGUGUGAAAUUUCGGAGCUUAACUCCGAAACUGCAUUCGAUACUGGCGUGCUUGAGGACUGGAGAGGAGACUGGAAUUCAUGGUGUAGCAGUGAAAUGCGUAGAUAUCAGGAGGAACACCAAUGGCGAAGGCAGCUCGCUGGGACGGUACUGACGCUGAGGCGCGAAAGCGUGGGGAGCAAACAGG